UGGGAUGAUGAUUUUGUAGUCAAGAACCGGGAUCAUGGAGAGACCAAGACUCCCAAACGGUUCAUCAACGACCCCAUGAGGAGCGAAUUCCACCGCAAAUUUCUGCGUAGAACGACUAUGAAGUUGAAUCAGCAGUCCAUGGUUGUGGAGAAGGGGAUGGAGCCUUGUGGCGAGAGAAGAGGCGUAUCCAAGGAGAAAUUGUUGGAAAAUGGGAAAAGGAAGAUUGAGAAGCUGCUCGACUCGAUUUUUCUGGAUAUGUCAAAGUCUCACAUGCUUGGUACACAAGACAUGACCGAAGCAAAAUACUAGAAGUGGGAGAAGGAACCCGCACCACAUGUCUGGGAUGGAUUCUUGUCCAUCAUGGGUGAGCACA